AGGUUGGUUACGCGCGACCCAGUUUUUUGAGACAGUCGGGUUGAUCGCCAUUGCCGCAGCAGCUGUCCUUCUGUUCCUGUCAAUCUUCGUGCAGGCGCUCAAGAACAAUAAGAUCAUCACAAUCAUCAACGCCUUAGCCUGCUUCGGUGCCUGUGGAACAAUCAUCAUCGGCGCGAUCAUCUACAGCAGUCAUGAUCGCUGGGUAGCCUUCCUCAGCUGGGCUUUCGCGCUGUGCAUAGUGGGGGCAAUACUGGAGGGCGUGGCAGGCGCAUUAAUCAUAGUGGGAACGUUCGCUGCCGGAAGAACAUUAGCGAUUAGACCAGCCGGAGAAGUCUAAAAGUUAUAUGUCAAAAUGAUAGAGACGAACAUUUCAUGCUUUAUGUUAAAGGAUAUUUGAAUAAAACAACGUGUGUCUGGGAA